rnacentral:piRNA from 1 species
UGGGUAGGUUUCUGAUUUCUACACAGGC